GCUCUGGUGGCCUAGUGGUUAGAGCAUCCGCCUCGGAUGCGGGAGGUCGUGGUUCCAAUCGAAUCAUACCAAAGACU